CCUACGGGGGGCAGCAGUAGGGAAUAUUGCUCAAUGGGGGAAACCCUGAAGCAGCAACGCCGCGUGGAGGAUGAAGGUUUUCGGAUUGUAAACUCCUUUUGUUAGAGAAGAUAAUGACGGUAUCUAACGAAUAAGCACCGGCUAACUCCGUGCCAGCAGCCGCGGUAAUACGGAGGGUGCAAGCGUUACUCGGGAUCACUGGGCGGAAAGAGCGCGUAGGCGGGAUAGCAAGUCAGAUGUGAAAUACUAUGGCUUAACCAUAGAACUGCAUUUGAAACUGUUAUUCUAGAGUAUGGGAGAGGUAGGUGGAAUUCUUGGUGUAGGGGUAAAAUCCGUAGAGAUCAAGAGGAAUACUCAUUGCGAAGGCGACCUGCUAGAACAUAACUGACGCUGAUGCGCGAAAGCGUGGGGAGCAAACAGGAUUAGAUACCCGAGUAGUC
rnacentral:rRNA from 1 species